GACGAACGCUGGCGGCGUGCUUAACACAUGCAAGUCGAACGGAAAGGCCCUGCUUUUGUGGGGUGCUCGAGUGGCGAACGGGUGAGUAACACGUGAGUAACCUGCCCUUGACUUUGGGAUAACUUCAGGAAACUGGGGCUAAUACCGGAUAGGAGCUCCUGCUGCAUGGUGGGGGUUGGAAAGUCUCGGCGGUUGGGGAUGGACUCGCGGCUUAUCAGCUUGUUGGUGGGGUAGUGGCUUACCAAGGCUUUGACGGGUAGCCGGCCUGAGAGGGUGACCGGCCACAUUGGGACUGAGAUACGGACCAGAAGCCUACGGGAGGCAGCAGUGGGGAAUAUUGCACAAUGGGCGGAAGCCUGAUGCAGCAACGCCGCGUGCGGGAUGACGGCCUUCGGGUUGUAAACCGCUUUCGCCUGUGACGAAGCGUGAGUGACGGUAAUGGGUAAAGAAGCACCGGCUAACUACGUG
rnacentral:rRNA from 1 species